rnacentral:rRNA from 1 species
AAAACCUUUUGGUUAUAAAUAAUUGUUAGUGGCAGACGGGUGAGUAAUGCGUAGGAAUCUACCUAGUAGUAUGGAAUAGCCAUUAGAAAUGAUGGGUAAUACUGUAUAAUCCCUGCGGGGGAAAGAUUUAUCGCUAUUAGAUGAGCCUACGUUAGAUUAGCUAGUUGGUAAGGUAAUGGCUUACCAAGGCUAUGAUCUAUAGCUGGUCUGAGAGGACGAUCAGCCACACUGGAACUGAGAUACGGUCCAGACUCCUACGGGAGGCAGCAGUGGGGAAUAUUGGACAAUGGGCGAAAGCCUGAUCCAGCUAUGCCGCGUGAGUGAAGAAGGCCUUCGGGUUGUAAAACUCUUUCAAUAGGGAAGAUAAUGCCGGGGUU